rnacentral:rRNA from 1 species
GACGAACGCUGGCGGCGUGCCUAAUACAUGCAAGUCGAGCGAAGCGGCGGAUGGGUGAGUAAUGCGUGGGUAACCUGCCCGUAAGUCUGGGACACCAUGUGGAAACAGAUACUAAUACCGGAUACUAAGGGCUGGACCUGCGUUGCAUUAGCUAGUUGGUAAGGUAACGGCCUACAAAGGCGAUGAUGCAUAGCCGGGUGGAGAGACUGAUCGGCCACAUUGGGACUGAGACACGGCCCAAACUCCUACGGGAGGCAGCAGUAGGGAAUCUUCCACAAUGGACGAAAGUCUGAUGGAGCAACGCCGCGUGAGUGAAGAAGGUUUUCGGAUCGUAAAGCUCUGUUGUUGGUGAAGCGGUAAUCAACCAGAAAGUCACGGCUAACUACGUGCCAGCAGCCGCGGUAAUAC